rnacentral:rRNA from 1 species
UACGGAGGAUGCAAGCGUUAUCCGGAAUGAUUGGGCGUAAAGCGUCCGCAGGUGGCUAUGUAAGUCUGCUGUUAAAGAGUGAGGCUCAACCUCAUAAGAGCAGUGGAAACUACAUGGCUAGAGUGCGUUCGGGGCAGAGGGAAUUCCUGGUGUAGCGGUGAAAUGCGUAGAGAUCAGGAAGAACACCGGUGGCGAAGGCGGCCUGCUGGGGUCUGGCUGACGCUGAGGCGCGACAGCGUGGGGAGCAAACAGG